rnacentral:rRNA from 1 species
UGCGUAGGCGGAAUGAUAGUUAGUGGUGAAAGCCCCCGGCUCAACCGGGGAACUGCCAUUAAUACUGUCAUUCUUGAGUAUAGUUGAAGUGGGCGGAAUGUAUCAUGUAGCGGUGAAAUGCUUAGAUAUGAUACAGAACACCGAUAGCGUAGGCAGCUUGCUAAACUAUAACUGACGCUCAGGCACGAAAGCGUGGGGAGCAAACAGGAUUAGAUACCCUGGUAGUCC